rnacentral:rRNA from 1 species
ACCUGACGCAGCGACGCCGCGUGCGGGAAGAAGGCCUUCGGGUUGUAAACCGCUUUCAGGAGGGACGAAGCCACUCGGGUUAAUAGCCCAGAGGGUGACGGUACCUCCAGAAGAAGCCCCGGCUAACUACGUGCCAGCAGCCGCGGUAAUACGUAGGGGGCUAGCGUUGUCCGGAUUUAUUGGGCGUAAAGAGCGCGUAGGCGGCCGAGUAAGUCCGACGUGAAAUCUGGAGGCUCAACCUCCAGCGGUCGUUGGAAACUACUCGGCUAGAGUCCGGAAGAGGAGAGUGGAAUUCCUGGUGUAGCGGUGAAAUGCGCAGAUAUCAGGAAGAACACCGAUGGCGAAAGCAGCUCUCUGGGACGGUACGGACGCUGAGGCGCGAAAGCGUGGGGAGCGAACAGGAUUAGAUACCCUGGUAGUCCACGCCGUAAACGAUGGGUGCUAGGUGUGGGCGGUGUCGACUCCGCCCGUGCCGAAGCUAACGCAUUAAGCACCCCGCCUGGGGAGUACGGCCGCAAGGCUA